ensembl:lncRNA OOEP-AS1 OOEP antisense RNA 1
GGAAGUGGUAACCUACGCAGCUGCUCCAGGGAGUGGGCCGGAGUCUGUUUGCCCCGCUGGGACUCAGCGGCACCAGCAUCAUCGACCAUACUGGGACCAGCAGCCGCGGAGCGCGCUCGAGGCGGCUUUCGCAAGACCUCUUCCAGACCCAGGCGCGAAGCUCGGGCUCUCUUUUACCAUAUUCGACCCGCUCCGCCCCUUCCGGCGGCGCCUCGCACCGCGUCGGGGUGAGCGGGUGCAAGCGACGCCCCGGCAUAGCGGCACCAUUGGACACUUCCUGCGCUGCUUCAAUCGCCGGGAUUGCCUCUUUGACCUUGAACUAGUAUUCAUUUGGCCUCCUGUUGGGUCUCCAAUGCUCUCCUUCGUCAUCUCUGCUCGUAAGGCUGGAGUGUAGUGGCGUGGUGUUGGCUCACUGCAACCUCCACCUCCUGGGUUCAAAUGAUUCUCCUGCCUCAGCCUCCCG